rnacentral:tRNA from 1 species
GCGGUGGUGGCGGAAUUGGUAGACGCGUUAGCUUCAGGUGCUAAUAUCCUAACGGAUGUGAGGGUUCAAGUCCCUUCCUCCGCA